rnacentral:lncRNA from 1 species
CUGGUUAAAAAAAAAAAAAAAAGAAAGAAAGAAAGAAAAGAUGUUUUCUUAGACUACAUAUGCCUUUAAACAUUUUUAUUUAGAAUUUUUAUUUCCUGCAAAUAUGUGAUUAUAGCAUUACAAGGAAGACAUUGUAGUUGUACAAUAGCCUUCAUUCAGCUCUCUUGAAGCAAAUAUUAGACAUGUCUAGUGUAAGUAAAACCACAUGUUAUAAUGGGAAACUAUUAUAAGAAAAAAGAUGUAACAUUUGAAAUUGGUCAGAAAAUCAGAGAAAGGUUGCCUUUUUGGCAUAUUUUUAAGCUAUACUCCUUUAGAUAGUAUUGCAAAAUAUGAAUUUCUGUUACAGGAACAAAAUUAUUAGAGAGUGAAAAUGAGACAUUAUAAUAAUGUAAUGAAGAUUUUUUUUACUGAGAUAGUUGAUCUCAGUUUCAAGUAAAUAAUUACCCACAUCUCUCAAUUUAAGGCUGCUUUGAAUGCUUUUUCUGCCUCCUUUUUUAUUGUCAUUCUGUUAGCUAUCACAUAUUACAACUGUCAGAUGCCUGAGUCUAGAAGCUACCCCUUUUAAUUUCUUGCUUCUAAUCUGCAGUGAAGAGGGAAAUUAGAUUUUCUCUAAAACAAGAGUGAGUAGGCUUUAAGUGAAAGUCUGAGAGUUUUCUAAUGGUUAAUUGGGUGACCUUAGUGUGUGGUUUUGUGAUUUUUUUUUUCCCCCUGAAUACUCAAGGCUGCUUUUUGCUUACUUCCGGUUUUCUCAACCAUGUCUAGAUGAGGAUAUGACCUUUGGUUAAGUGAAGUACUUUUGUAACAAGUUUAAAUUUUCAGGGAAUUUCUAUGUAGCUAAACUUUAUACUUACACAUAAUUUAUUUUCUUUUGUUCAUGAUCUUCCAAUGGAGGUGCUUAAUGUCAACAAGCAAUAAAUCUAGAUUCUGUGUUUUGUAUUGGUUGCUCUUCCAAAUUAAUACUCAUCCCUCCUCUAACCAAUCCAAGACAAUUAUUGGCCUCAUCAUUGUUCUCUGAAUAUACCUUGCUUACUCUUGCCCUUAUGCAAUCUUUUAAACUGUUGCUUUGAGGUAAGGCACGUUUUCCUACCUCUGUUAAUGUUCUCAUGCUUUCUAAGCCGUCUCACGUUCUAAUGUUUCCAUGACUCUAAGUCUGGACCACGUGGAUCACUUACCAUUCUAAUUACCUAUAACUACUUUCCCAUGCACUGGGGGAGCGGGGACUGAUCAAAUACUAUUACUCAUUGUUCUCCACUUGGGGGUAUAUAGGCUUAGCAUCUCUAAGUAUACUAUUACCUGCUCUGAGUAAACAUACAUUCUUUCUGCAGUACAGAGAAGACAAGGACAUUAUUAAUACCCUUUAAUCAUCUUGUCUUACGUCUGGUAGGAAAUAGAUGACAUCUAUUCAGUUAAGGAUGACAAAACAGCAGACAGGAUGGCUAGUGAUUUGAGAAAAAAUGUCUGUCCUUCUUUGUACAUAUCUUUGUUUCUCCUCAAACAAGCCUUCUUUGUAUAAAGAUGUCUGGAAAUUGUCACAUUACAUAGCAGUGGGUAGGAAAAAGCAAUUCCUUUACUACUGAUGUACAUCUAUGCAGGGCUUCAAAGGCAACUUGAGCAGGUAACAGGUUCGCCUAUAGAUAUUAGAUUAGCUCAAGCACUUUUUUCACAGGAUUUCUUGUCUCAGACAUGUGGUCUAGAUAUAUGACUAAUGUAGCUCUCUAAUUGUGGAUUCUUUAUACUUUCAACUUUAAAAGAUCUUUUCAUAAUUCUGUUUCUCCCCUCUAAAUCUUUAUGUUUUGUCAAAGGGAAUCUUUUCUACUAUGUUUCUUCCUGUUUUGAAACCACUCUGAUGGAAAAAAAAA